CCUGUGUGUAAUAGACUCCUAUUAAAGCUACAUAGUAGAAGACGUUUCAUCAGCUGCCCCACCACAUCUUGCAGAAGGGUCAGGGCCUGCAAGGGUAUUAGGGAGAGGGAAAGAUUUUGCUACAGCUAAUUGGAUGUAUGUUGAACACCUGACUAGAGGAUGCUGUAGCAAAUGCUUACGAGAGAAUUUAAACUCAAAGCCACAAAGAUUGAACAUCAGUGGUAGAUCUGAUGCUGAGUGAAGGCUGGGGACUAUUGGGCCGUGUGCAAGAGAUAAGCAAGUAAAAGAAGUUAUGGAGAAAAAGAGCCAGAGUGAAACAAACAGAAAGAAAGAAGCAUACACAGGAAAAGGCUGUCAGUCUCGAUUUCCAUUCUGCUAAAAGAAUAUAAUCUAUUAUAAACAAUACCUCAAAAACAUGCAUAAACACACAACAAACAACCUUCACAAAGCACCUGCUUAGGUACUGACAAAUCACCAUGUUGAAUCAAUAAUUAUUCCCAGGGCCCCAUUAUGACUUUCAUGGCACUUUGCCUUCAUGGGUCCCUUCUUUCAUUAAAAAAUUUAUUAAUUAUAUUUUAAAACUGCAAUGACAUAAAGCAGGUAUAGUCCAAGCUGGAUUCAUUAUUAUACAUUCACUAUUAUUCAUUUUUCUUCUGCUUUUAAAAGAAACUAAAAUUAAGACAUCUUCAUGGGCCCGGAAAGUAUUGUGAGCCAUAUGUACAUAGGAACACUGUGUUAUGUACCUAAACGGGGAAGUACAUGACUUUGAACUGAUUCACCUUAGGGACAUGAUUAGCUUUCCAAAAUGGGCUGCCUUCUCAGAGCAUCAACAGAGGAGUAUCAGAGAAAACAUGGAGAGUACAAGAGAGGAGACUGCAAAGGACUCAGUGCAAAACUUACAGGGAAAAUGGAAUAUAUGUGACCAAUUUAUUCCAGAGCUGACAGAUUUGGAUGAAGUGGCUUGACCCCUUUUCCUGCUAUCCUUUAGAAAGCCAACUUCCUUGUGAGUUCCAUUCCAAGGCCUGGAGUCAAAUAAGCAAAGGCCACUUAGCACUAUUUACAGAAUGGAUAGAUAGUAAAUAUCAAUGUGACUAUAUCUUGGAAUCCUGUAUAUUAAUAAAAUAAUUAUAAUUUUUAUUUGUUUGAUAAUACUUUUUAAUGUUAAUUUUAAGCUAUAUUCAGUAGUUUAACUUUCCUUUCCUGCUCCUUGACAGACCUCCUUGCUCUGUCAGGCAGAGUUUCUUAAUAUUUUGAGAGUCACAGAUCCCUUUCAGAAUCUGAGAUAACCAUGAACUCUCUUCCUAUAAAAAGGCACACACAGAUCUCCUGAAGUUUGCCCAUGGAUUAUCCAUUUGAAAGCCUUAAAACAAAGAAGAUAAAUAAUUUAAUUAAUGUGGUAAUGUAAUAAGUAUAUACAGUAUGUAGAAUUCUGCCCUAUGAAAAUGUAAAUAUUGCAUUUUUCCUUUUUGUGUACUCACAGAAAUAUUUAAAGAAAUUGAUCAUAUAGUGAGCCACAAAGAAAAUCUUAAUAAAUUCCAAAAAGAAAAAUAAACAGAAAACUUGCCAUCGAUAUUUUCUGAUUACCAUAAUAUAGAGGUAGAAAUUACUAACAGAAGUAUAAACAAAAGAAUCCAACUUCCUGAAAAUGUCAAAACUUUCUCCUAAGUAAUUUAGAUCAAAGGGAAAAUCAAACAGUAAUUACAGACUACUUAGAAAAUAGUGAUAAUAACAAUAUACAUCAAACAUUUGACAUAUGGCCAAAGUCACACUCAAAGGCAAAUGUGUAUUUUUAAGUUAUUUCAUUGUUAAAUAAUAAUGAAUGGAAAUAGAUGAAUAAAACACUCAACCUAAGAAAUUAUAAAAAAGAGCAAAAUAAACUUCAGGGAAACAUAAGAAUGGAAUUAAUAAAUAUUUUAAAAUAAAUUAAGAAUUAUGAAACAAUUAGCAGAAUUAAUAUUUAAUUUGCAUAAUUCGUGCAUAUUCAGUGAACAUUAGGGAAUUGCUUUGACUGCUAUCAUCUUUACUAUGUUUCUGAAUAUUUAUCUUUUUCUUGUUUCUGUUAGUACUGAAUGAAAUUAUGGUUUACAUUUUGAAGCCAAUAAAAAUAUUACGUAGUAUUUUUAAGCACUUCAGUGAUUCACAAAGCACUUUUUUUUAAAGAGAUGGAGUCUUCUUGUGUCAAAGCGGCUGGAGUAUAGUGGUGUGAUCAUAGUUCAUUGCUGCCUCAAACUUCUGGGCUGAGAAGAUCCUCUUGCCUCAGCCUCUCAAGUCACUGGGACUACAGGUAUACACCAUCAGUCCUGACUUACAAAGCAAUUUUAUAUGCAUUUUCUCAUUGAACAUUUAUAACAACUCUGGGGGUAAAUGUCAGCAUUAUUAGUUAUUCCCACUGUAAAGGUGAGAAAAUCGAGAUUGAGAAAAGCUAACAGACUUUCUGUAUAGAGUAUUUCUUUACGUUUCAUUUGUGAUUAUCUAACCUUAGAAAAUGAGGAAAGGUAAAAACAGGUGUGAGUCAAUGUUUGGGAAUUUCACUAUGCCUAACAUUAUUUUAUACAUUACCCCUGGAAAGGAGAAUAAAAUGCAUGCUAUCAUAUUUAGAAUUCAGACAGUAAGUAUGUUUGAGUUUAAAACCUGUUAAGAACCAGGUCACUCAAGUCAACCAGGGGAAUGAUAUGCUUUAUUGGCUUUGACUUCCUGAAAAGUUAAAAAAAAAACUGUGAGCCUGUAAAAAUUAGACCUUUGCUUUUUUGGUUGGGCAUAAGGAGAAAUACACCAAUGAUAACUGUGCCUCUACUUAUGAUAUUGCAGUUGUGCAAG
rnacentral:lncRNA from 10 species